GGGUUGUGAGGUUAAGCGACUAAGCGUACACGGUGGAUGCCCUGGCAGUCAGAGGCGAUGAAGGACGUGCUAAUCUGCGAUAAGCGUCGGUAAGGUGAUAUGAACCGUUAUAACCGGCGAUUUCCGAAUGGGGAAACCCAGUGUGUUUCGACACACUAUCAUUAACUGAAUCCAUAGGUUAAUGAGGCGAACCGGGGGAACUGAAACAUCUAAGUACCCCGAGGAAAAGAAAUCAACCGAGAUUCCCCCAGUAGCGGCGAGCGAACGGGGAGGAGCCCAGAGCCUGAAUCAGUGUGUGUGUUAGUGGAAGCGUCUGGAAAGGCGCGCGAUACAGGGUGACAGCCCCGUACACAAAAAUGCACAUGCUGUGAGCUCGAUGAGUAGGGCGGGACACGUGGUAUCCUGUCUGAAUAUGGGGGGACCAUCCUCCAAGGCUAAAUACUCCUGACUGACCGAUAGUGAACCAGUACCGUGAGGGAAAGGCGAAAAGAACCCCGGCGAGGGGAGUGAAAAAGAACCUGAAACCGUGUACGUACAAGCAGUGGGA
rnacentral:rRNA from 1 species